rnacentral:guide_RNA from 1 species
UACAAUACACGUUGGUUAUCGGAGUUAGAUGAUUGUGA